rnacentral:tRNA from 5 species
GGGCCCGUAGCUCAGCUAGGUAGAGCGGCGGGCUUUUAACCCGUAGGUCCCGGGUUCGAAUCCCGGCGGGCCCGCCA